GCAGGCAUAAAUUCAUGUGUUUGCACAGUCAGUCAAUAUAAAUACAGAAGCUUAAAAUAAAUACGUACACAACAAAAUAAAUCUGUCAUUUCGUUUUAUUACAAUGGAAAUCAAUUGCAUUAGUAACGAGAUUAUAUGGCGAUACAUUUAUUUGAUAAAGUUAAAUUUACAAGACCAAAGCUGUCAAUUCACGUUGAAAUUCUUUUAAAUAACGACUAAACACGAUACAUUAACCUAUCAUUAACAACAAUCAGAACUGUGACAAACCGCAGAAAAAAGAGGCCCACGGUGAUGAUAUAAAAACGAAAAGCGUAUUCAAAUCGCCAAUGAACAUUAAUCAAAGCGUCAAUCUGUUAAUUAGCUACGGCUAAAUGUCCGUCGGCUUUCUGUAAUUACCAUAAAACAUUUACAGAUCAAGUUUUCUGAUUAAUACAAGUAAACAUUUAACGUGUAGCAAGUAUGUAAAUAAUCAAUAGGAUAUAUUAAUAAGUAUUUAAUAAUAUUGCACAAGUGAGACUUCCUAAAACCUAUUAGCACUCAAUCAAUUAUUAUGAUGAUAGAAGACUGCUCUCAAUCAAAAAACAAGUGGACAGCCCUAAGAAAGAUGCUUUUGCUGCAAGAUCAGCUGUUUCUUGCAGCCAUGUUACGAACGGUCGGAGAAUGAGCAGCGCAAAGAAUUGGAACUAAAUGAAUGCUUAGUUCAAUAAGAUGAACUAGCAGCGGCUAUGAACCGCGAGUAUGUCUCUCAAUCCCACGCUUCACUUUGUCUCGAGUCGAGCGUGUGAAUGUCAAAUUAGCAAAAACAAUAACAAUAAAAGGCAUUCACUUACCACAACUCAAGAUGUUGUUGCUGUUAUUGCUGUUGUUGAAGUUGUCGUUGUUUUUUUCCUUCAUGCAGCAUUGGCCCCGAAACACUUUUUUGCUUGCUGUUUGUUUUUAUAAAUAUUUAAUGAAAACACGCGAAUUGUCGAUUGGAAAUAUGUAUGGAUG